GACGAACGCUGGCGGCGUGCUUAACACAUGCAAGUCGAACGGAAAGGCCCUGCUUUUGUGGGGUGCUCGAGUGGCGAACGGGUGAGUAACACGUGAGUAACCUGCCCUUGACUUUGGGAUAACUUCAGGAAACUGGGGCUAAUACCGGAUAGGAGCUCCUGCUGCAUGGUGGGGGUUGGAAAGUUUCGGCGGUUGGGGAUGGACUCGCGGCUUAUCAGCUUGUUGGUGGGGUAGUGGCUUACCAAGGCUUUGACGGGUAGCCGGCCUGAGAGGGGGACCGGCCACAUUGGGACUGAGAUACGCACCAGACGCCUACGGGAGGCAGCAGUGGGGAAUAUUGCGCAAUGGGCGGAAGCCAGAUGCAGCAACGCCGCGUGCGGAAUGACGGCUUUCGGGUUGUAAACCACUUUCGCCUGUGACGAAGCGUGAGUGACGGUAAUGAGUAAAAAAGCACCGGCUAACUACGUG
rnacentral:rRNA from 1 species